CCUAGGGUGGCAGCAGUGGGGAAUAUUGCGCAAUGGGCGAAAGCCUGACGCAGCGACGCCGCGUGAACGACGAAGUCUUUCGGGAUGUAAAGUUCUGUCAAGAGGGACGAUUAUGACGGUACCUCUAGAGGAAGCCCCGGCUAAUUACGUGCCAGCAGCCGCGGUAAUACGUAAGGGGCGAGCAUUAUCCGGAUUUAUUGGGCAUAAAGCGCACGUAGGUGGUAUUUUAAGUCAGAUGUUAAAGACUCCAGCUCAACUGGAGUUUGCCCCUGAAACUGAAAUACUAGAGGUCAGUAGAGGAAAGCGGAACUCACAGUGUAGCGGUGAAAUGCGUAGAUAUUGUGAGGAACACCAGUUGCGAAGGCGGCUUUCUGGCCUGAUCCUGACACUGAGGUGCGAAAGCGUGGGGAGCGAACGGGAUUAGAUACCCCAGUAGUC
rnacentral:rRNA from 1 species